rnacentral:rRNA from 1 species
GAUGAACGCUGGCGGCGUGCUUAACACAUGCAAGUCGAACGGAAAGGCCGAAGCUUGCUUCGGUACUCGAGUGGCGAACGGGUGAGUAACACGUGGGUGAUCUGCCCUGUACUUCGGGAUAAGCUUGGGAAACUGGGUCUAAUACCGGAUAUGACAAUCUCUUGGAUGGGGUUGUGGGAAGCUUUUGCGGUAUGGGAUGAGCUCGCGGCCUAUCAGCUUGUUGGUGGGGUAAUGGCCUACCAAGGCGUCGACGGGUAGCCGGCCUGAGAGGGUGUACGGCCACAUUGGGACUGAGAUACGGCCCAGACUCCUACGGGAGGCAGCAGUGGGGAAUAUUGCACAAUGGGCGCAAGCCUGAUGCAGCGACGCCGCGUGGGGGAUGACGGCCUUCGGGUUGUAAACUCCUUUCGCAACCGACGAAGCUUUUGUGACGGUAGGUUGAGAAGAAGCACCGGCUAACUACGUG